rnacentral:rRNA from 1 species
GCAGCCGCGGUAAUACGAAGGGGGCUAGCGUUGCUCGGAUUUACUGGGCGUAAAGCGUCUGUAGGCGGAAGUGUAAGUUGGACGUGAAAGCUCCGGGCUCAACUCGGAGAGGCCGUUCAAUACUGCACAACUAGAGGCCAUCAGAGGGGCGUGGAAUUUCCGGUGUAGCGGUAAAAUGCGCAGAUAUCGGAAGGAACACCAGUGGCGAAGGCGGCGCCCUGGGGUGGGCCUGACGCUAAGAGACGAAAGCUAGGGGAGCGAA